rnacentral:lncRNA from 1 species
CUGCCCCUGUGCUGUUCAACACACAGCACCCUUACAGUGGCAUCUCUCGGUCCCAGGAACGUCCCUGAAGAAUUCUGGGACCUGCCUGAGCCCCGCUGUCAUUGUCGGCCUCCUGAAGGAAGCUUCCCAUCGGGCGGACGUGAACUUGGUGAACGCCAAGCUGCUGGAGAAAGAGGCUGGCCUCCAUGUAACCACCUCCCACAACCCUGCUGCUCCGGAGGAGCAGGGCGGUGCGGAAUGCCUCCUGACCGUGGCCCUGGCAGGUGCCCCCUAUCAGGCCGUGGGCUUGGUCCAGGGCACUGCACCCAUGCUGCACGCACUCAACGGAGCUGUCUUCAGACCAGAAGUGCCUCUGCGCCGAGGCCUGCCCCUGCUCCUGUUCCGGGCUCAGCCCUCCAACCCUACCAUGCUGCCGACCAUGAUUGG